GCUGACGAGUGGCGAACGGGUGAGUAAUGCAUCGGAACGUGCCCGAUCGUGGGGGAUAACGCAGCGAAAGCUGCGCUAAUACCGCAUACGAUCUGAGGAUGAAAGCGGGGGACCGUAAGGCCUCGCGCGAUCGGAGCGGCCGAUGUCAGAUUAGGUAGUUGGUGGGGUAAAGGCUCACCAAGCCGACGAUCUGUAGCUGGUCUGAGAGGACGACCAGCCACACUGGGACUGAGACACGGCCCAGACUCCUACGGGAGGCAGCAGUGGGGAAUUUUGGACAAUGGGCGAAAGCCUGAUCCAGCAAUGCCGCGUGCAGGAAGAAGGCCUUCGGGUUGUAAACUGCUUAUGUACGGAGCGAAAAGGCUCUCUCUAAUACAGGGGGCUCAUGACGGUACCGUAAGAAUAAGCACCGGCUAACUACGUGCCAGCAGCCGCGGUAAUACGUAGGGUGCAAGCGUUAAUCGGAAUUACUGGGCGUAAAGCGUGCGCAGGCGGUUUUGUAAGACAGGCGUGAAAUCCCCGGGCUCAACCUGGGAAUGGCGCUUGUGACUGCAAAGCUGGAGUGCGGCAGAGGGGGAUGGAAUUCCGCGUGUAGCAGUGAAAUGCGUAGAUAUGCGGAGGAACACCGAUGGCGAAGGCAAUCCCCUGGGCCUGCACUGACGCUCAUGCACGAAAGCGUGGGGAGCAAACAGGAUUAGAUACCCUG
rnacentral:rRNA from 1 species